GCCAGCACCAUCUGUUAUCUCAUGUCCCUGACCAAACCAUAUCCUCCAACACUUAAUUUGUGUUGGAAUGGCUUAAUCAGUACACACAAUAAAAUAGCUUAUCCGUGACUCGCAUUAUCCAUCCAUCCAUGAUCCAUACAUACGUUCUAUAGUAGAGAAGCUGAGCAAGACAGCUGGAACCGGUGGCAAGCAAGCACGGCUGUCCGUCGCAGCUUGACACCGAUGCACAACAACCACCACUACGUUACACAUUGCACGCAGCUUUUUUCCUUGCACUUUUAUUACGGUGGCCGGCCUUUUGCCAUUGAAGACAGCGCCGCACCGCAGCAGCUCCAUCAAUAAAACCCGCCCUGUCCUGUCCUGUCCUCACACUCACUCAUCACACUCCACCACCACCACCCCCAUCCAUCAGACAAGAGAGAGAGAGAGCGUCUGCAGUCUGCAGCCUGCAGCAGCCAUGGCCAAGGAGGUGAGCGAGGAGCCGGAGCACGCCGCGCCGGCGCGCAAGGACUACUCGGACCCGCCGCCGGCGCCGCUGUUCGACAUGGGGGAGCUCCGGAUGUGGUCCUUCUACCGGGCGCUCAUCGCCGAGUUCGUCGCCACGCUGCUCUUCCUCUACAUCACCGUCGCCACCGUCAUCGGCUACAAGGUGCAGUCGGCGGCCGACCCGUGCGCCGGCGUCGGGGUGCUCGGCAUCGCCUGGGCCUUCGGCGGCAUGAUCUUCGUCCUAGUCUACUGCACCGCCGGCAUCUCGGGCGGCCACAUCAACCCGGCCGUCACCUUCGGCCUCCUCCUCGCGCGCAAGGUGUCGCUGCUGCGCGCCGUCAUGUACAUCGUGGCGCAGUGCGCCGGCGGCAUCGUGGGCGCCGGCAUCGUCAAGGGCAUCAUGAAGGACGCGUACCAGGCCAACGGCGGCGGCGCCAACAUGGUCGCCUCGGGCUUCUCCCGAGGCACCGCGCUGGGGGCAGAGAUCGUCGGCACCUUCGUCCUCGUCUACACCGUCUUCUCCGCCACCGACCCCAAGCGCAGCGCCCGCGACUCCCACGUCCCCGUGCUGGCGCCGCUCCCCAUCGGCUUCGCCGUCUUCAUGGUGCACCUCGCCACCAUCCCCAUCACCGGCACCGGCAUCAACCCCGCCAGG
rnacentral:lncRNA from 1 species